rnacentral:misc_RNA from 1 species
GCAAACUUGGUCAUUUAGAGGAAGUAAAAGUCGUAACAAGGUUUCCGUAGGUGAACCUGCGGAAGGAUCAUUAGAAAAAAAUAAAAAUGCCCUUGUGGUAUUUUUUAUUUACAUCCACAUCCAUUUUGCGCUUAACGCGCGCGUAUAUACAUAUGUAAUAUUAUUGUUAUUAUAUGUAAAUUUUCAAGUCGUCUUUUUUUAAAGGCGCAUCAAAAUAAAUAAAGAAAAACUUUCAACAAUGGAUCUCUUGGCUCUCGCAUCGAUGAAGAACGCAGC